GUACAAUGAGGAUUUUUAAUUACCAUGUUAAUGGAUAAUACAAACUGAUUUGUCAGUCCAUAAGGCAUGAACUAAUUUGUAUAAACUGUGAACAAAUACUUUUAACCAUAUAAUUUUGAAAAUAUAUUAAUAAAUGUGUGACCAUAUAGUAAAAUGUCUCCCUUGACUGUAUGUGGUAUUAUUUCCGUAUGUAUGUUCAUGUUGUGACAAAUAGUAAAGACACGGAGAUAUGGGCAUUUAAUGUCAAAAUAUAGGCCUACAUGAAUUUAAUCAUUGCAAAUCCUUGAACAAGUGAAACAUGCAUUUAAGCCAAUGAGACAUUUAACAACAGAAGGUGUAUACGGUGAUAUUUCUGUCAUGAUGUGAUGAACGAAUUUAUAUUUAUAUAUUAAUAUUAAGUGUUUAUCUGCUAUAGGCUAUUGAAUCUGUUCACGUCUUUCACAUUUUAUCAUUAAAGGUUUUUUUUUUUUUUUUUGCAUAUUUAUCGUGUUAAUAUUAAAUAAAUAUUAAUUAAUAAAACUUAUUCAUUUCGUUUUCAGGGAUGAAAAGACUGGUUCUUCUGCAGAAAUGCCAUAUGGGCUUAUCAUUUUUAAGUGUUUUAAGAUGAUUAUUUGUUGUUUGCUUGUUUUUAUUUUAUUAUGAGCAGUUUAAAUAUGUUUUAAACCUAUUAUUUUAGAAAUGUUUUUUAAAUAUCCUAUUUGUUUUCAUACAGAGAAACACACGUUUCACUUGUUCAAGGCUUUUUUUAAAAUGGUUAUUAUUAUUUGACAUUAAACAGCCUACGUUACAUAAUCUAAGUAAUUUUUUAAAGUAAUCUUUAACUUGUACUGAAACUAGGCACUGGUACUGAAGCAUAAAUAAAAAAUAUUGAAAGAAAGAAAGAAACGGUUGUCUUUCUCUUUGCUUUUAAAGGGAUAGUUCACCAAAAAUGUAUCAUUCUCUCAUCAUACCCUUAUGUUGUUCAAAACCUGUAUUCUUUUGUUGGUAGAGCAUAAAAGAUUGUUGUUCUUUUGUGUACAGCAGAAAAAAGAACUGCAUAUGUAAAGGUGAUGAUGACAGGAUUUUUAUUUUUGUCCCUUUAAGAGCAGAUAAUGUGAGAUAGAGCAUUGUGUAAUAUGAAACCGUAAACAAAGGUGUGGCCUUCAGUAUAUAUACACACAUUCCUCCUGGAGUUUCAGCAUUUAAAGCGCUCUCAAAUUCGUCAGCUAAGAUGUCAGAGCUGCAGUGGAUAUUUCCCUCACUUCACUUCAGCUCAUCACAAGAUAUAAGCAAAAACAGAGUAUUAGACUAAUGAAUGCAUGGCAGGAAUAUAUCUGGAGCAUCACAAACUGCAGGAGAAGAACCAGACGAGAAAGAAAGAAAAAUGUCAAGCAAAAAAAAGUUACAACCAAAUAAACCAAAAAUUAUAAUAGUGAGACGGAGGAGCAUUAAUAGUGGAAAACCAAACUUUUCUCGUGAUGAAGACAGUUUCAUUCUGACGUCUCAGAUGAGAUCUGAGAGUGUGUUUCUCUUUUCAGAAAGCAGCAGCUCCUUUCAUCAAACCAGCAAAAUACUCUUCAUCAGUCAGUCAAUAAUUAUGCAGUGUACGCUGUUUAUUUUUUAGCAUUAUUAUGUGUAGAUAUCUAUAAUAUUUCAUCUGGUCUUGCUUUAAUUUAUUUUCUGGUCUGUAUUACUCUGUACAAUUUUGCAUUUUUAUGUUUUAGCACUUCUGAUGUUAUUGACUUCCUGGGAUGAAUUGCUUUGUCUGAUAAAAGAAUCUGAUAAAUGUAUAACUGUAAAAAUGUAACUUUUGUAAAAAUGACUUUUAGUAUGAUGAAUAAAUGACGAUAUAAUGACGAUAUGA